UACGUAGGGGGCUAGCGUUGUCCGGAUUUAUUGGGCGUAGAGAGCGUGUAGGCGGCCAGAUAGGUCUGCUGUGAAAACUCGAGGCUCAACCUCGAGAUGUCGGCGGAAACCAUUUGGCUAGAGUCCGGAAGAGGAAAGUGGAAUUCCUGGUGUAGCGGUGAAAUGCGCAGAUAUCAGGAAGAACACCCGUGGCGAAGGCGGGUCUCUGGGCCGAUACUGACGCUGAGGAGCGAAAGCGUGGGGAGCGAACAGG
rnacentral:rRNA from 1 species